AAGCCAGAGUUGCUGGAGUCGAGAAGACCGUGGCCACCGUCGGAACCUGCAAGGGAAGUCUAAACCCAAGAUGGGGGUGCUCCAGCAAGACCCUCCGAUGCUCAAGUCAGUACUCUGCUUUAACAGAAAUGGAGUGCUCGAGCAAAAAUUUUGGCAGAAUUUCGAGAUAGAGUUUUUUAAGCUUAGAAAAGAAUGUAUCUGGGGAUCCUUAUUUAUAGGC
rnacentral:lncRNA from 1 species